rnacentral:rRNA from 1 species
UACGUAGGGUGCGAGCGUUGUCCGGAAUUAUUGGGCGUAAAGAGCUCGUAGGCGGCUUGUCGCGUCGGAUGUGAAAGCCCGGGGCUUAACUCCGGGUCUGCAUUCGAUACGGGCAGGCUAGAGUUCGGUAGGGGAGAUCGGAAUUCCUGGUGUAGCGGUGAAAUGCGCAGAUAUCAGGAGGAACACCGGUGGCGAAGGCGGAUCUCUGGGCCGAUACUGACGCUGUGGCGCGAAAGCGUGGGGAGCAAACAGG